AAGUAAGAAGCUAUAUAGCAAUUAGUUUCGACCUAAUUCAAUGGUAUUAAAUUACCCUUAUUUU
rnacentral:tRNA from 1 species